UCUCCCCUCAGGGAAGCUUUUUGCUCGCAUUAUGUUUCUCAUCCAAAUAUAAGACGAACAAAAGGUUUGUCUGAGAGCAG
rnacentral:pre_miRNA from 13 species